GAUGAAGAACGCAGCAAAAUGCGAUAAGUAAUGUGAAUUGCAGAAUUCAGUGAAUCAUCGAAUCUUUGAACGCACAUUGCGCCCGCCAGUAUUCUGGCGGGCAUGCCUGUUCGAGCGUCAUUUCAACCCUCAAGCUCAGCUUGGUGUUGGGACUCGCGGUAACCCGCGUUCCCCAAAUCGAUUGGCGGCCACGUCGAGCUUCCAUAGCGUAGUAAUCAUACACCUCGUUACUGGUAAUCGUCGCGGCCACGCCGUAAAACCCCAACUUCUGAAUGUUGACCUCGGAUCAGGUAGGAAUACCCGCUGAACUUAAGCAUAUCAAUAAGCGGAGGA
rnacentral:misc_RNA from 1 species